UAGCUAUGAUAAAAUAAAUUAUCACCUUAGAAUUCAAAAAGCUAAAAGAUUGUGGAUGAGAAAAGUCAGAAGAGGAAUGCUUGUUUCGGCAUGCAUGUCUCCGCCUCUUUGAUUGCAGAAUUUAUUAAAAUGUAAAUGGCAGUCUCUCUCUCAUCUAUCCAAACUCUCUCAAGACCAACAAAGCUCAGACGCGUCACUGCUCUCUCUCCGGUGUCCGGAGGUGCGUCCGAGCGCGUACCGGCGCCGGAGGAGCCUCUCUCCCUUCCCUCGUUUUCUCCUUUGCUGCUCUUCUGUCUGUCUCUUCCCUCUGAUAUGCUCGCUGUCCUGGGUUUGGUACGUGGCUCCGGAGAGUGCUCCGUGCGCAAGGAGCGUCUCUCUCUGGCUCCACAUACUUUUUCUGGGGCUGCGGUGAGGAGGACUCAAGGUUCAGUGGAGGUGUGGUCGGCUUUUAGGGUUUAUGGCGGGAUCGAUUUUCCAGAUCUGUUUUUAGAUCCCGUCGGAUUCCUUCGUCGUUAAGGGGAUUUAAAGGUCUGCUCCUACUAUUCGACUUCGGCGGUGUCGACUGUUGAAUGGUGGAGUCUUUCGGUAGCGGUGGUGGGUUCCUUGGUCUUCUCCGGCGUCGGCGAGGUCCAUUCCUCCUGCUUGUUACCAAGUGAGUUUCGGUGGUUUACUUCACCGGAAGCGCGCCAGGGGCUGUGAUACGCAGAAGUAGAUGGUAUCAUGGCUUCGUAUCCGGCGUGAGUGGUUGUUGUUAGUGACUAUGAAAGGCAGUCGUCUAUGGCUCCUGGAUGGUUUCUCGUGGCUCUGCCUCGCUUCUGAUAUCUCUCUCAUGGCGUCUUGCCCGGUUCUCUGGUUUGGAAGUGACCUUUUCCUUUCCGGAGCAGCCUCUUGGUGUUUCAUUGUCAAAUCGCUUUGUUUGACUCCGAAGUUCGGUUUUCACAGUCAAGUAAACGGUCUCUCGGUUCUCUAUAACUGGAUUUGUUGAGGCGAUUCUCGGGAGUCAUUGGUCGUCUCGGGUCAACAGAUUGUUAUAGCUCACGUCCGAGUGUCGCUUUGUUCCUUUCGUUCUUUGCGGCAGUGGGCUUGACUUUACUUGCAGGUGAUGGAGGCUUUUUGACAGGAUGUGGCGAUGGCAUCAACCCGAUUUCUUGCACGGUUCGUGGCGGCAAUGGAGGUGGUGUCUCUUGGUAAGAGUUAUUUCAUCUUUGUGCUCGUCUAGCACUUCAUCGAUUGGUGACGGUUAUAAGCUCGAGGAGUUCAUUGGGAGCCUGCUACUCCAGAGACGACACGGGAGUUCCCGGCAUCCGAGGCAACGAGGAGAACCUCACGGUCCUGUGGUCAUCGUCGAUGGUAGAGAACGGUAACUGAUUCCUUAGGAUUUUAAAAAUGGCUUAGCGGAAUGUGCCGGGUUUAGUGGGUGGGCGAAGCUAGGUUGUAAUACUUUGACUCGGGAGAUUUUGUUCAAAUCGAUCUUGUAACCGGAUUUGAACCCCCUUUAUUGGGAUGAAUAAAAUUUAUUUCUUAAAAAAAUAAAAAUAAAAAGUAAGCAAAAAAGUUGAUUUGUAAAGUA